rnacentral:rRNA from 1 species
AGAGUUUGAUCCUGGCUCAGAAUCAACGCUGGCGGCGCGCCUAACACAUGCAAGUCGAACGAGAAAGCAGGAGCAAUCUUGUGAGUAAAGUGGCGUACGGGUGAGUAACACGUGGAUUAUCUACCCUCUUGUGGGGGAUAACCCUGGGAAACCGGGGCUAAUACCGCAUAAGCUCGAGAGAGGAAAGCAGCAAUGCGCAGGAGGAGGAGUCCGCGGCCGAUUAGCUAGUUGGUAGGGUAAAAGCCUACCAAGGCUACGAUCGGUAGCCGGCCUGAGAGGGCACACGGCCACACUGGCACUGAAACACGGGCCAGACUCCUACGGGAGGCAGCAGUGGGGAAUCUUGCACAAUGGGGGCAACCCUGAUGCAGCGACGCCGCGUGAGCGAUGAAGCCCUUCGGGGUGUAAAGCUCUUUCGGCAGGGAAGAUUAUGACGGUACCUGCAGAAGCAGCUGCGGCUAACUACGUGCCAGCAGCCGCGGUAAUACGUAGGCAGCAAGCGUUGUUCGGAGUUACUGGGCGUAAAGGGUGUGUAGGCGGUUCUCUAAGUCUGGUGUGAAAUCUCCCGGCUCAACUGGGAGGGUGCGCCGAAAACUGGAGGACUAGAGUGCGGGAUGGGAGAGUGGAAUUCCUGGUGUAGCGGUGAAAUGCGUAGAUAUCAGGAGGAACACCUGUGGUGUAGACGGCUCUCUGGACCGCAACUGACGCUGAGACACGAAAGCGUGGGUAGCAAACAGGAUUAGAUACCCUAGUAGUCC